CGAUCUAGCUGCUAACUGACAAUAGCGGUGCACUUUUUUCCUGGUGAAUAUUUGUUUGGUGGCUCAUUCAACAAGCUGCAGGACAAGACGUGUGUUCAUGUUUGUAAGUUAUCAUCAAGUUUUGAUGAUGUGGACACAGGCUGUUGUUUCAUUCACUCCCAUGUUUAAAGGAGGAAAGUACCAUGCACCAGUGAUAUGAUCCGAACCAUGAGUUUUGUGAUCCGUUGCACCCCUAUGAGAUGGUAAUUGCUACCUGUGCAUUACAUUUGAUGCACAGCAUCAUUUGGAUACAUCUGCAAAAAUCAGGGGUAUAAUUAACCUUAAUUUUUAAGUGUUCUUCAUAUUUAUUCAGUAAUAUUAACCUUGGGUAAAGAAAUUACUAUCUUUUUAUUUCCUGGCAUUGCCUCUUACACAUUCCAUCUUUCCUUGUCUACCAGUACAAUAACAAUGAAGAUGAUUGAAGAAAUACUUGAGAUGACAUGAGUAAUGCUUUCAAUAGGGAAGAUGAAAAAAAUAAAGUGGACAAUGAAGACUUUGAGAAGUACAUUUAAGAGGUAUUUACAUAUUACACCUAUUACGGCAGUACAAUGUCAGCAUUUUUUGCUUUUAUGAACUCACAAAAAAUAUUUACUUGCUUGAUCAUUCAUAUCCACAUUACUAAUAAUGUUUAUUAGAAAUCUAAAAUUGUGUAAAUGCAGUUGUAUGCAAAAGUUUGGGCACCUCUUGUGUGAACACUCAGCAACCAUGGGUUCCUCUGAGCAGCUGUGUAAGACUGUGAAAAUGGAAGUUAUCGAUGCCCACAAUGCAGGGGAAGGCUACAAGAAGAUAGCAAAGCGUUGUCAGCUUGUAUUUUCCACAGUACAAAAUGUAGAUAAGAGAUGGCAGUUUAGGUGAACUGUCAAGAUGAGAUCUGGAAGACCAAGAAAACUCAAAACCCCCAUUUGACAGCAAAAAACCUGGAGGAAGAUUUAGUAGACUCAGGAGUGGUGGUGCACUGUUCCACUGUGCAGUGAUGCUUGCACAAACAAGACCUUCAAGGAAGAGUCAGCAGAAAAAAACAUCCACAAAAGCCUGAUACAUUUUGGAAACAAGUGGUGUGGACUGAUGAAGUUAAAAUAGAACUCUGUGGCCACAAUAAGCAAAGUUAUAUUCAGAAAAAAGGAGUAGCAUUUCAUGAAAAGAACACCUUGCAAACUGUUAAGCGUGGGGGUGGAUUUACUAUGCUUUUGCAAUGUUUCUUUGCUUGCUUUGUGCAGUGUUUCCUGUGCCACUGCACAGGUGAAAGGAAAAAUGGAUUCCACUAAAUACCAGCAAAUUCUGAAACAUCACAUUGUUUGUAAAAAAAAAAAAAAAGCUGAAGCUGAAAAGAGGAUGGCUUCUACAACAGGGUAAUGAUCCUAAACAUACCCUCGAAAUCCACCAUGGACAAACUGCAGGGACGCAAGCAGAAGGUUUUGGAACGGCCCUCACAGUCCCCUGACUUAAACACAGUUGAAAAUCUUUGAGUGGAUCCAUGAGAGCUGUGCAUGCAAGACAGCCCAAGAAUAUUGCAGAACUAGAAGCCAAAAGGAAAACGGAAGAAAAUCCCAAAUACAAGCAUUUAAAGACUUUUAGCUGGCUACAAAAAGAUUUGGAGGCUGUGAUAUCUGUUGGGGGGGUGUUACUAUGUAUUACAUAAGUAUUAUGUUGGUGCCCAAACACAUGCCACAGUGAUGUUUUUGUUUUUUUGUUGUUUUUUUUUUUUUCAAUUUAUGAUAUAAAAAGUAACCAUGAAUUUAUGUUUUUUAAUAAGACAUUUUGCAUAUAAAUGAACUUAAUGGACAAUAACAAACAUAUCAAAAUGGAUUAUGCCAAAAUAGCAGCCUUGUACCAACAUUCAGCAUAGGUAGUAGGAAAAUAAUUAUAAUUGCACAAAAAAGGGGAACUGGGACUUUUUAUUUUUUAUGUUAGCAUAAUCCGCUUUUUGUCUGUUUAUGUGAUAAAAAGUGUGAUUAUGAGACCUGUUUUGCCAUGAUAUGGAAGAGCAUGGACAGAUACAAAUACAGUAUUCUGUAUUACCAAUACAGGAAGGCACAAAGAAACGAAUAAGGAUAUUUCAACACCGUUAGGACUCAUGUCAUGCCUGGAUAAUUAUAUAACCCAAGACUCUACUACUACUACUUAGUUCAACACCUAAGUACAUACUCGGGUAGCUACUCUUUGUUCUGAGUUUGCAGCUCUGUAGGAUAUGAUGACAUUAUUUUCCAUUUUGUGAUAAUCCAAGGCAAGCAUUUCUCAAAGAUUACAUUUGCUAAAAUAAAAGACAAUAAGCUGAACUGAUAUCCCUGCUUCAUUCUGCUGUGCUCUCUCUGUCUCUCUCGGGCAAGUGAAGCUAGAGCAGAUACUGGUGACAAGCCCUUUUAUCCUGGUGCACCUUUGGAUACUCUUCUAGUGAAGAGUAUCAAAAGUUAUGUGACAAUGUAGUUCUUGGAAAAGAUGACUUGACGCUAAUUUGGAAUUGUGAUGGCACACCAGUGUUCAAAAGUUCUAAAUGCACCAGAAGUGAGGAAAAACAUUUUAAUGUAACCAACUAAUGUAAACCAACCAUUUUUACAUUACUAAUGCCAUUUGUUAAAGAAGCCUCAUUAUUAGAGACCGGAGGUAUCGACUGGUGAGACAUACAAAGAAACUGUCAUGUUUCUAAAGUGUUUAAGUGGUUUGUAGCUCAGAUUCAAUGGCUCAUCCAUUGCUUCACUACACAAAGCAGUUUAAUGUUUUUAAAUGGUUGUGACUUUUGUUAUCACAAAAGUGGUAAAUCCUAUCCAUGUGAUCAACCUGAACCUCCAUUAUGAAAUGAGAGAGAUCAUUUCAGUCAUGGAAAGGAAGCUUCAGUUAAUGAGCCAGUGUUUGGAGCCAAAGGGCCAUCUCCUUUAAUGAAGCUUAGUCACUUCCAAAUGAUAAAUGGUUUCAUUCCUGAAUAUCAACACAGUGUGUGCCCUGGAGUCAAUAGCCAACUGUCCAUAUUUUGGUUUGAUACAGUAAACAGUAAAGCCCCCUGGUACAAUGUCAAACAGAUGGAAGAGGUUGACUUGCGACUUGUAAAAAUAAAACCUCCUGUUGAGAUAACUAGGACACCAAAGUCAACGAGUGAAAGAAAACAAAUUUUCUGGUGUGGAGAGAAUUGCUAGAAAAACCCAAGCAUACUAUCACUUCAAUAAGUGCAAAGGUUCAGUAAUUUGUUGAAGAACUUUUUAAGAAGCGAAGAACAGAAAAAUAUGAAAUACAAAAUGAAAGCGUCAAGGAUUUUUGGGCAAUCCCCAUUGCAAGAAAAUAUCACAGCUUCAUAUAGGCUUGCCAUUUCCAAGUUAUGUGGAAAUCUAAGUCACAGCUUUUGGGCUUAGAUGGAAUUUUGUAUCGCGGUCAAAAAUAUGACUACUAAAAAAAAGAUACAACAGUGCUGUAUACUUGAAAGAUGAUACACACAGAGAAAUAGGGGUAUCAUUUCUGUACCUAAAGGUACAUUUGUCAGAAAAGUACCCUGUAAGCUAUGGAAAUGGUCCUUAAGGUGAUAACUGUAGGCCUUUGUUUUAUUUUAAAGGUACAAAAUCAUUGCUCACAGAAAAGGGUACAUAAUUGUACUUUUAACAAGCUUAAGCUGGUUCAAACCGGUUAAUCCCCCAUUGUGUUCCCAGACAUGAAAUGGCACAAGACAGUGAAAAUGUUGGUUUUCUUUUUCCUGCUUUGUCAAGCGUGUCCAUGGAUGAACUAAUGAAAAAGAUAAUUGAAGAUGGAAUAUAAAUUUAACAAAGAAGAGACAAGAAAAUUCAGGGGUAAGUAACUGGACCUUAACAUUUCUUUUCAUGCUACUGUUAGCUAGCUAGCUAACUUUAACAAGCCUAACUCAGGAUACUGUAACUUAACAUUAGCUAGCUACAUUUAUGGCCUGUUGCUAGAUAGGCUACAUUUUUAUUAGCUAUUUCAGAAUGAUUUGGUCUUUUAAUCAAAUAACUUUAACUUUGUGACAGAAAACUUAUUUCAGAGUGAUUUUGUUCAUUUUACCAAGUUGCUAACUGCAGUGUAGCAGAAUUGAAAUGCUUCCACUUUCCAUCACCAUUAUCCCCCAUUUUAUUUCAUUUUUUACAAAGUAUUUUUACUGUUUCAUUCAAUAUUCUUUGCAAUUCUCCACUGGGACUUUUUUCCACUGGGUUUUUCUGGAUUUAUUAAUUUUAUGCAUUGGCGCUCCCUCAUGGAGCCCAUGUGGACUUCAGUAGUACAACCCAUUCCAGCCAGCUAAUCUAACAUUUACUUUUUCACUUAGUGCAAAAUGAGUAAAUAUAAAAAUAAGUGAUAUACUGAAUGUCAAUUAUAAUGUUUUCAUCUAUAUUAUACAGUUUUUUGACGAAGUUGACCAAAUCCACUUUUCAACAAGCAGCUUCUGCCAUUGCUUCAGGGAGGACUUCGCAGGUGUUUUGCCAAAUGUGCUGAAACUUCCCGGGGGAAAAUCUCACCUAACAGUACACCGUUGCAAGACAGGAUGCCCUGGCUGAAGCUCUACCAGGAAUUGACUUAAGGGCCAGGCUUAUCCUCUUGACAUCCAUCUUCAGAGAAAAGAUUGAAUACUACAUCACUAUGGGAGAGGUGGGCAGCUGUAUUGUCCAACAGUACUGACUGGUAGACCUCAUGUAUUCAGCUGAGUGGUGAAUGGCCCUGCCCCAUAUUUAAGAGAGGCUGGAGGAGAUGUCUCUCUCCCUGACUAAGCAGCCAACUACUGUUGUUGCGGUUCAUUUUUUCUUUU